GCCACAACUUUUUCUAUCCGUUGAUCAAUAAAACAAAAGAGAAUUGAUGCGGCAGUUGGAUGGAAUUUGAUAAGCAAGCUAAAUCUUUGAUGAUGAAUAUAUUGUGAUGAACUGAUGAUGAUGGAGGGUGGUGGAUUAGACACGUCGACCUUUUGCCCCCAUUGUUUAUUCCCCUUCAUAGACAUUUAAUUUCAUGAUACUUUAGGGUAAAUCAAUGAACUAGAACGAUUGCAAUAAAGACUUUGGUGUAGUGGAUUUGAGUUGAGGCCAAUUGGGUAGGUGGAAUUUUUGGUACCCGGUUACUUCAAAUCUAUAUUCAUUAGUUCCGAUUUGAGUUUUGUGAAUGAAUUAGUGGAUUUAGGAAAAAAAAAGCGUUGAUUCAAGUAGUCAUAAGCAACAAAUUGUGACGGAAACGUUGGCGGAAUCAAGGACUUUCACCAAGUGUUGUCGGAAAAUUUGUUGCCGGAGAAGAUGAUAUUGCCAGGAAAAUGGUGUUAGGCUUACGUGGCUGUACACAUCAUUAAUUUCAUCUUUUUUAUUAAUCUAAAAAUAAAUAAAAAUUAAAAAAUGAUUGGCUACUUGUACGGAGCCUACAAAAGUAACUUCCGUUUCCAUGCCUUUAAUAGCAUUUUUUUUUGUUAAAGUCUCACAAAAACAAAAGUGUCAAAAUUGAAGUACUUUAUAAACAAUUAGCCCUUUAUAAAACUAA